rnacentral:rRNA from 1 species
AACGAACGCUGGCGGCGUGGAUAAGACAUGCAAGUCGAACGCUGAUUUCAGGGUAGCAAUAUUCUGGAGUCGGAGUGGCGCAAGGGUGCGUAACACGUGGGUAAUUUGCCGUGAAGCCUGGGAUAACUUGCUGAAAGGCGAGCUAAUACCGGAUGUGAUUAUCGGGAGGCAUCUCCUGAACCUUAAAGUUGGGGACCGUAAGGCCUGACACUUCACGAUAAGCCCGCGGCCUAUCAGCUAGUUGGUGAGGUAACGGCUCACCAAGGCUAAGACGGGUAGCUGGUCUGAGAGGACGACCAGCCACACUGGAACUGAGACACGGUCCAGACACCUACGGGUGGCAGCAGUCGAGAAUUUUUCACAAUGGGCGAAAGCCUGAUGGAGCGACGCCGCGUGGGGGAUGAAUGGCUUCGGCCCCGUAAACCCCU